AAUAAGUUUCAAACAUACCAUUUUUCACUAACUUACCGAAAUUUGUACAAUUUUUCAGUAAUAUUUUCGUUAAUUUAUAAAAAUUUUUCCUACAAUUAUUACUUUUCAAAACAUUAUGGAAAAUUUUCCGCUGAAUUACAUAUUGAAUUACAUAUUUUUUGCCCGACGAGCGUGCCGUUAAAAUUGCCCGACAAAGCUGUAAUACUACGAGAUUGGGAGGCGUCGCCUUCCCCCCCUGGUUGCCGCAUUGCGCCUCAGU